rnacentral:rRNA from 1 species
GGUGGUGCAUGGUUGUCGUCAGCUUGUGUCGUGAGAUGUUGGGUUAAGUCCCGCAACGAGCGCAACCCUUAAGCUUAGUUGCCAGCAUUCAGUUGGGCACUCUAAGGUGACUGCCGGUGACAAACCGGAGGAAGGUGGGGAUGACGUCAAAUCAUCAUGCCCCUUAUGACCUGGGCUACACACGUGCUACAAUGGACGGUACAAACGGUUGCCAACCCGCGAGGGGGAGCUAAUCCGAUAAAACCGUUCUCAGUUCGGAUUGUAGGCUGCAACUCGCCUACAUGAAGCCGGAAUCGCUAGUAAUCGCGGAUCAGCAUGCCGCGGUGAAUACGUUCCCGGGUCUUGUACACACC